rnacentral:lncRNA from 1 species
UGCUGAGAGACGAAGGAUGAGAUGCAGGAAUGAGGUCCCAUUCCAGGCACUGAGCAGGGUGUUGUGGUGGGCGCAGACUUUUCUGCCCCCUUUUCCCAAGUGUGACCUUUUCUGUCCUGUCCCCUCCAACCUGUCCCUGUCUUGGGCCUGUCUCUUCCCUGCCUCGACUUCUUGUCCCAUUCGCCAUGCCUAGCCAGUCCUAGUCUCCAUUCCUUGGGCUUCUCGUAUCAGUCCCAGUUUCCUUGCCCAGCACGUACCAGUCUCACCCCUCUGGACUCACUGGCCCAGUCACCUGCCACUCCCAUUUCCGGGCUCCAUGUCCAGCUAGUCCCAGUUCUCCACCUCCCAGCUUCUCGUCCAAUCUGUGCUCCCCCCCUCCCCGCCGCCCACAUUUCCCAUCGCCCUGUCAGUCCCAAUCUCCCUCCCGGGAUACUUGUGUGUCCUCAGAGUCCCCUUGUCCCUGCCCAGCCACUCCCAGUCUCCCGUCCCUGGCUCCUCAUCCAAUCACAGUCUCUCCCUCUAUGUACUGCCUCCCAGUCCCAAUCUCCUUCCCCAGCCAGUCCCAGUCUUCCCCCGGCCCCAGCUCUUGCUCUCUGCCAGCCUCGAGUCCCAGGUUUUGCCCCAUCCCCCAAGCUCCUGUCCCAAAUCUAUUCCCUGCUACCCGCUCCCCAGUCCAGCCCUUGUCCCCUGCCUCCUCCGUGUUGCCUGGGCACUGAGAGCCCAGAACAGAGGGUCUCCCAGUCCCAGCGCUGGACCUGGCACGGCCUCCAGCAGCCGAGCUGCAAUUGCCAGGAAAGUCCUGCUCAGCCUGGGCUGCACUGUGCCAGGUAACCAUGGAGCCUUGCAGGCGUUUCGCUGCUAAGAAUCCUCUACUGAACAGGUGCAAAGUGCAGUUUCUCGAAGGCUUAUAAAUUGGCCUAUUUGGGGUGGGUAUUCCUGGGGCUGGCAAAAGGCACAUCCCCAGGGCCAGUGCAACCAUUUAGGCGACCUAGGUGGUCACCUAGGUCACUAGGAUUUGGGGGGCACCAUUUUCUUCAGCGGCGACCGCAGCGGCCAGAUCUUCAGCCGCCCUGGUCGCCACCGGCAUUUAGGCG